GGUGGUUCGCUCUCCUCUAAAUCUCGUUGUCUCCCCAUAAUUAUGGCGCUGCUUACCCUUCGCGUGAUGUUAUCAAGGGAACAAAACUAUCUAGGACGAGCUGAGUGUGUUCUAGGAUUAUAUGAAAGAGGUUCAAUGUUAGGGUGAAGAGUUCGAUCUUGAUCGACCUACUGAUAGAUUUGUGUGUAUUUCUCAAGCUCUUGAGGAUAUUCGACAGGGCAAGAUCGUAAUUGUUAUAGAUGAUGAGGACAGAAAAACGAUUGAGAUUUGAUAAUGGUGGCAUCGUUGGUAACACCUGAAGCUAUGGGCUUUUGUGGUUAAGCAUAAGACUGGAAUCGUGUGUGUGAGCAUGAAAAGUGAAGCUGAGAUUUCAAAAGUACAAAUCAAGCUGAGAUUCAAGAUGCCGAGAAGGAUGUGGUAUGUUAAGGUCAUUUCAAUCGGCACAAAAGGCUUCAAAGAUGGAAUACAAGGCAAUCGAGA